rnacentral:rRNA from 1 species
UACGUAGGGAGCGAGCGUUGUCCGGAUUUACUGGGUGUAAAGGGUGCGUAGGCGGCUAUGCAAGUCAGUAGUGAAAUCCAUGGGCUUAACCCAUGAACUGCUAUUGAAACUGCACAGCUUGAGUGAAGUAGAGGUAGGCGGAAUUCCCGGUGUAGCGGUGAAAUGCGUAGAGAUCGGGAGGAACACCAGUGGCGAAGGCGGCCUACUGGGCUUUAACUGACGCUGAGGCACGAAAGCGUGGGUAGCAAACAGG